rnacentral:lncRNA from 1 species
GUUUGCUUCUGUCAUGUGUCUGGGAACACCAACAACUUAGAACAGCUUUGAACUAAAUUAUAAGUAUUCUGUUUUUCAAGUCACACAGAUAAUGUGAAUUCCAACUCCAAACUCUUGUGAGAUUGGGCUUAUGGCUCUUAAAGAAGACACUGUCUUUCCCUCCCCCGAGAACCAAGGCCAACACUGGUAAGGUUAGAAGGCUGCCAGCCUGGUCACCAAGAAGAAUACUUUUGUGAAAGAUCCUGCCACGAGCUGGUGUUUCAUGAGCAACGAACAGAAAACCAUCUCCCAUUUUGACAGCCCUGCGCUGGGAAUUCAUAAAAUAUUCAAGUAACUAAUAAA